AACGCAAACUCUAGGGUUAGCCUCUCUCUCUCUCCACUCUACUUCCCAUUUCAUGUGAUUCGUCUGCGUCGCCCAAAAUCUGACGAUUUCAUGCGGUGGAAUGCAUAGAUCGAAGUUGGAGAGGCGAGGAGCACGCACAGAGAGGGCGAAGCCUAAUCGAGGAAGGAGGAGGAAGAGGCCCACGAUUGUAGGCGAGUCUCGCUUCCAGCAUGAUUUUUGUAAGGCUCGCAUGGAGAUUCUAUGGGUGCCCAGCUGCUUCCAUCCUAUCCCCCUGGUCAAGCCUGUUGCCUUGUUCCCAUCAUCCACUGCGGUAGCACUCUUAGCAGAUACUAUAAGAUGAACAACAGAGGAUACUGAAAAGGUAGAGACGGUAUCAUCAUCGAAGAACAACUGCUACACGAACAAGAGGAUGUGACGGAAGUAAGCAAUCCAAUUAAAUAGUUGAUAUAACUACUAGCUGAGGUGGCUAAGCAGGGCACCACGCUCGCCAUGCUCGAGGAGGCUCCCGCCUGCGGGGAGGAGCCCGGCAGCAUGCUGCUCCAGCUGCAGCAGCCCACGGGGAUGCGGCUACCACGCCCAGCCCUGGGCUGCGGCGAGGGAGGAAGAGGAGGGCGGCGGCGGCAUCAGCCUCAAUGUCGUGCCCAACGAGUGUGGAAUGCCCCUGUUCUACACGCAUUGGAGGAGGUCGCCGGAGAACGAGGCUGCCAACGGCGAGGAGCAUUUCCUUGCACUUUUAGGGUUCUCCAUUUUGCUUAUUGAAUAAAUUUUAACUUGUGCAAGUACACUAAGUCAAGCAUGUUGAUGUUAAGUACAGUUUCUGCUAAGCAUACUAGCUAAACAUUUUUUCGAUUUCGUAUAUGCAGCUUGUGUCAUAUGUUUUUCACCAGGCAAUAGUGUAAUUUUUUAUUAGGCAAUAACAUGAUUUUCACUAGGCAAUAACAUGGUUUUCAUUUGGCAAUAACAGUAUUUUCUGUUAGUUAAUGAUGUUACUUCUAGCUAGGCAAAAGUCUUUUUCCCAUUUUGGGCAAAAUGCUAUUCUUGGUCUAGCAAAGUUCUGUUCUCAGUUAGUCAAAGCAUCAUUCUUAGACAAAUAACUGUUAAAAUCGUUGUUAGUACUAUCAAAAUUUUGGGUACGAAUAAGCAAAACAAUGCAUUUUGCUUACCAAUUUCUGAUGACCUUUUAUUUUUGGAGUGCCUCUGUUGAUUAUUAGGAUAUACAAGCUAGUUCUCCACCUGCCUAAUGUUCUUGUUAGGGUUUCUUUGGGCUGAAAAGUUGCUACCCUUACUUCCUACUUCCAUCCAACGAACUAGACUACUAGAGAAUAGAUUCUGAGUGUAUACAGUAACAACAUGCUUCUUGAUUAGUUGCUUGGACCCUCUCCUUCGGUUUCUUGUCAACAGUCCUUAAGUCAUACCCAUCCUUAGCAACAUAGCACUUCUCUUGAAUCUUUUGGUACCACAUUAGACAAUAAUAUCAUCCUUUGUUGGGCAGUAACAGACAAGAAUAAGCAAUUAUAUGUGGUGUGAAUUUUUACAAAACAAGAGAAUUGAGUAUGCAAUAAUAUGGCUAUAGGUUAGGCAAUUAUAUUGUAAUGAAUAAGCAGAACAAUGUACUUGACUAGGCAAUUUCAACAGAACAUUUCAUAAAGAGUUAUGGGACUAGGCCUCUUGCUCUGAUUUUGUUUACUUUGGGUUCUGGGCAAUAACAGUAUUUUGUUUCUAAUUUAGCAAUUUUGUAUGCUAUGAUGAUAUGCCAUUUUCUACUAAUUUUUCCUCCUAAUCGGCGCGUGUGCUAGAUCAUGCUCGCAUGAAGCCAAUGAUGCAGCAAAUCCACGCCUUUUUUGGUGCUGGAGGAUGAGGGGUCACAAGUUGUUUUGUGUGUAUUUAGACGAGACUUGUCAUUUGGUUUAUAAAUUAGAUAUGUAAACUAUUUGCUUUUUUUUUCCAAAGCUAGAGUUCAUGAUAUAUAAUGACAAUGAUAGUGUGAUUUUGUGUGACCUAGGGAAAGUACUGUUAUCAGUUGGGCAAUUAAUACUUUUAGUUAGACAUUUUUUUGUUUAUGAACAAGCAAAACAAUAAUUUGCCAAGGUAGUUUUUGUUGCCUUAGUUUUCUUCUAGUGCAUCUUGCCUUAGUUAUUCACCUCAUCCAAUUAUUUUUUUUCUUAGUGUAUCCUUUUUAUUAUGUGCUGCAUACUAACUGAUUUGAUGCUUUUCUCCUCGUUAUAUUGUAGGCCAUGAAAGAAGCUCAUCUGUUAUGCAAGUAGUAACCCUUCUAUGAGAUGCUCGUGCAGUCACAUGAAUCUUCACAUUCAAUUUCGCUCAUGAUGAUUUGGGUUGAGGGCAGGGGUGCGUGGCAUUGCAUAAUUUAGCUUAUUGUCAACCCCAAUUUUGGUAGACUAGGUUCCUGUAUUUGCACACGACGAGAUCUGUGAUUCUGUAAUGUGCAUUAUUUUUUGCUGUGAUUCUAUAAUGUGUAUUAUUUUUUGGUUCUGGGCAAUUUUUAUGUGUCGUGUGCUCGCUGUAUGAUUUAUUUGCGUUUACGUUCAAAAGCUGGCAAAUUGGUA